GGGUUGUGAGGUUAAGCGACUAAGCGUACACGGUGGAUGCCCUGGCAGUCAGAGGCGAUGAAGGGCGUGCUAAUCUGCGAUAAGCGCCGGUAAGGUGAUAUGAACCGUUAUAACCGGCGAUACCCGAAUGGGGAAACCCAGUGUGACUCGUCACACUAUCAUUAACUGAAUCCAUAGGUUAAUGAGGCGAACCGGGGGAACUGAAACAUCUAAGUACCCCGAGGAAAAGAAAUCAACCGAGAUUCCCCCAGUAGCGGCGAGCGAACGGGGAGGAGCCCAGAGCCUGAAUCAGCAUGUGUGUUAGUGGAAGCGUCUGGAAAGGCGCGCGAUACAGGGUGACAGCCCCGUACACAAAAGCGCAUGUGCUGUGAGCUCGAUGAGUAGGGCGGGACACGUGGUAUCCUGUCUGAAUAUGGGGGGACCAUCCUCCAAGGCUAAAUACUCCUGACUGACCGAUAGUGAACCAGUACCGUGAGGGAAAGGCGAAAAGAACCCCGGCGAGGGGAGUGAAAAAGAACCUGAAACCGUGUACGUACAAGCAGUGGGAGCCCCACCACUAAGCCAGUGGUGAACUCCACAUACGCAUCCUUUGCUGAGGAUACGGUUAACGGAGCGAAAGCGACGUUCAACCGCAAAAGAAGCAGAGGGGGCUUAGUGGUGGGGUGACUGCGUACCUUUUGUAUAAUGGGUCAGCGACUUAUAUUCUGUAGCAAGGUUAACCGAAUAGGGGAGCCGUAGGGAAACCGAGUCUUAACCGGGCGUUAAGUUGCAGGGUAUAGACCCGAAACCCGGUGAUCUAGCCAUGGGCAGGUUGAAGGUUGGGUAACACUAACUGGAGGACCGAACCGACUAAUGUUGAAAAAUUAGCGGAUGACCUGUGGCUGGGGGUGAAAGGCCAAUCAAACCGGGAGAUAGCUGGUUCUCCCCGAAAGCUAUUUAGGUAGCGCCUCGUGAAUUCAUCUCCGGGGGUAGAGCACUGUUUCGGCUAGGGGGCCAUCCCGGCUUACCAACCCGAUGCAAACUGCGAAUACCGGAGAAUGUUAUCACGGGAGACACACGGCGGGUGCUAACGUCCGUCGUGAAGAGGGAAACAACCCAGACCGCCAGCUAAGGUCCCAAAGUCAUGGUUAAGUGGGAAACGAUGUGGGAAGGCCCAGACAGCCAGGAUGUUGGCUUAGAAGCAGCCAUCAUUUAAAGAAAGCGUAAUAGCUCACUGGUCGAGUCGGCCUGCGCGGAAGAUGUAACGGGGCUAAACCAUGCACCGAAGCUGCGGCAGCGACACUCAGGUGUUGUUGGGUAGGGGAGCGUUCUGUAAGCCUGUGAAGGUGGCCUGUGAGGGUUGCUGGAGGUAUCAGAAGUGCGAAUGCUGACAUAAGUAACGAUAAAGCGGGUGAAAAGCCCGCUCGCCGGAAGACCAAGGGUUCCUGUCCAACGUUAAUCGGGGCAGGGUGAGUCGACCCCUAAGGCGAGGCCGAAAGGCGUAGUCGAUGGGAAACAGGUUAAUAUUCCUGUACUUGGUGUUACUGCGAAGGGGGGACGGAGAAGGCUAUGUUGGCCGGGCGACGGUUGUCCCGGUUUAAGCGUGUAGGUGUGUGUUCCAGGUAAAUCCGGUUCACUUUAACACUGAGGCGUGACGACGAGGCACUACGGUGCUGAAGCAACAAAUGCCCUGCUUCCAGGAAAAGCCUCUAAGCAUCAGGUAACAUCAAAUCGUACCCCAAACCGACACAGGUGGUCAGGUAGAGAAUACCAAGGCGCUUGAGAGAACUCGGGUGAAGGAACUAGGCAAAAUGGUGCCGUAACUUCGGGAGAAGGCACGCUGACACGUAGGUGAAGUGAUUUACUCAUGGAGCUGAAGUCAGUCGAAGAUACCAGCUGGCUGCAACUGUUUAUUAAAAACACAGCACUGUGCAAACACGAAAGUGGACGUAUACGGUGUGACGCCUGCCCGGUGCCGGAAGGUUAAUUGAUGGGGUCAGCGCAAGCGAAGCUCCUGAUCGAAGCCCCGGUAAACGGCGGCCGUAACUAUAACGGUCCUAAGGUAGCGAAAUUCCUUGUCGGGUAAGUUCCGACCUGCACGAAUGGCGUAAUGAUGGCCAGGCUGUCUCCACCCGAGACUCAGUGAAAUUGAACUCGCUGUGAAGAUGCAGUGUACCCGCGGCAAGACGGAAAGACCCCGUGAACCUUUACUAUAGCUUGACACUGAACAUUGAGCCUUGAUGUGUAGGAUAGGUGGGAGGCUUUGAAGCGUGGACGCCAGUCUGCGUGGAGCCGACCUUGAAAUACCACCCUUUAAUGUUUGAUGUUCUAACGUGGACCCGUAAUCCGGGUUGCGGACAGUGUCUGGUGGGUAGUUUGACUGGGGCGGUCUCCUCCUAAAGAGUAACGGAGGAGCACGAAGGUUGGCUAAUCCUGGUCGGACAUCAGGAGGUUAGUGCAAUGGCAUAAGCCAGCUUGACUGCGAGCGUGACGGCGCGAGCAGGUGCGAAAGCAGGUCAUAGUGAUCCGGUGGUUCUGAAUGGAAGGGCCAUCGCUCAACGGAUAAAAGGUACUCCGGGGAUAACAGGCUGAUACCGCCCAAGAGUUCAUAUCGACGGCGGUGUUUGGCACCUCGAUGUCGGCUCAUCACAUCCUGGGGCUGAAGUAGGUCCCAAGGGUAUGGCUGUUCGCCAUUUAAAGUGGUACGCGAGCUGGGUUUAGAACGUCGUGAGACAGUUCGGUCCCUAUCUGCCGUGGGCGCUGGAGAACUGAGGGGGGCUGCUCCUAGUACGAGAGGACCGGAGUGGACGCAUCACUGGUGUUCGGGUUGUCAUGCCAAUGGCACUGCCCGGUAGCUAAAUGCGGAAGAGAUAAGUGCUGAAAGCAUCUAAGCACGAAACUUGCCCCGAGAUGAGUUCUCCCUGAGACUUUAGGUCUCCUGAAGGAACGUUGAAGACGACGACGUUGAUAGGCCGGGUGUGUAAGCGCAGCGAUGCGUUGAGCUAACCGGUACUAAUGAACCGUGAGGCUUAACCUUACAACGCCGAAG
rnacentral:rRNA from 1 species